CCGAACCGACUAAUGUUGAAAAAUUAGCGGAUGACCUGUGGCUGGGGGUGAAAGGCCAAUCAAACCGGGAGAUAGCUGGUUCUCCCCGAAAGCUAUUUAGGUAGCGCCUCGUGAAUUCAUCUCCGGGGGUAGAGCACUGUUUCGGCUAGGGGGCCAUCCCGGCUUACCAACCCGAUGCAAACUGCGAAUACCGGAGAAUGUUAUCACGGGAGACACACGGCGGGUGCUAACGUCCGUCGUGAAGAGGGAAACAACCCAGACCGCCAGCUAAGGUCCCAAAGUCAUGGUUAAGUGGGAAACGAUGUGGGAAGGCCCAGACAGCCAGGAUGUUGGCUUAGAAGCAGCCAUCAUUUAAAGAAAGCGUAAUAGCUCACUGGUCGAGUCGGCCUGCGCGGAAGAUGUAACGGGGCUAAACCAUGCACCGAAGCUGCGGCAGCGACACUGUGUGUUGUUGGGUAGGGGAGCGUUCUGUAAGCCUGUGAAGGUGUGUCGUGAGGCAUGCUGGAGGUAUCAGAAGUGCGAAUGCUGACAUAAGUAACGAUAAAGCGGGUGAAAAGCCCGCUCGCCGGAAGACCAAGGGUUCCUGUCCAACGUUAAUCGGGGCAGGGUGAGUCGACCCCUAAGGCGAGGCCGAAAGGCGUAGUCGAUGGGAAACGGGUUAAUAUUCCCGUACUUGGUGUUACUGCGAAGGGGGGACGGAGAAGGCUAUGUUGGCCGGGCGACGGUUGUCCCGGUUUAAGUGUGUAGGUGUGUGUUCCAGGUAAAUCCGGUUCACUUUAACACUGAGGCGUGA
rnacentral:rRNA from 1 species